GUAAAUGUGAUAGUUCAUAAAUUACAAUUUAAUUAUGAACUAUCACAUUUUAACGUUUCAAGUUUUCCACUAGACAAGUUCAGAAAAUUGUCUGUUAAAAUAUGACAGUUGAAAUAGUAAUAGAUACCAGUUUGUAAUUUUGAUUCAGUGCCUUUUUUUAAUAAAUUAAGAAUUUUUUUUCUUCAAUAAGCAAAAAGCAUUAAUGAGCUACUUUCACACAUUUAGUAAGUGAACUUCAGGAGAUAAACUGACAAAACCUGAGUUUAUCUUCUUGUAAGUCAGACUUAAGUUUUUAAUGUAACUGCUAAACACCUUGCUGUUGGUCCAUUGCAGAUUUUGAAUUAUUAUCCUUUUUUUAACAGCAUGCUAUAAAUGCCGGCAUUUUCCAAUAAUAAUUGUUUGGUAUCACCAAUUAACUGAAUAUUUUAUAUUCAAGCCAUCUGGUUUCUGCCACCGCCACCUGGAAUGUCUCCAAAUGCUGCUCAAUUAGCAAUGAUGCAAGGUAGUUCAGUAGUCCUUGGUCAGCAGAAAUCCAGCUUUCUCACUGGAGGUAGCAGUGGAGGAUAUACCUUCUGGUAGGAUGAAAAAUUAAAAGAAUUAUCAACUAAACAAACCUCAGUCUGGGGGCUCAUUCCUUUCUUAAAUAAAUCAGAGGAGCAAGGUUAAGAAAUCAGAAGCACAUUCUAGUGCAUAUGCCUUUAUUUUAAAAAGAACAAAUAUCUGAAGCUAGUAUGAGUAAUAAUUGAAAUUUUUUCUUUAUUGUGCCCCCAAUGAUUGUGGUGAGAACUGGUGAUAAUCUGUAUACUCUGAUGUAGAGGCUGGAAUUUAUAUAUAUACUUCACAGCCUUUUUUAUUUACCAUGUAAAAGAAGUACAGCCACAGCUAUACAAUAAAAUUGUAAAGUUUAGUUACAGAAA